rnacentral:rRNA from 1 species
GAUUUCGAUUUGGAUCCCACGGCCUAACACAUGCAAGUGGAAGGGUAACGGAGAGAGCUUGCUCUCUUGCUGACGAGUGGCGGACGGGUGAGUAAUGCUAGGAAUCUGCCCAUGUAGUGGGGGACAACUCCGGGAAACCGGAGCUAAACCGCAUAAGCCCUACGGGGGAAAGCAGGGGAUCUUCGGACCUUGCGCUUUGGAUGAGCCUAAGUCGGAUUAGGUUUUUGGUGGGGUAAGAAGAAACCANGCNACGAUCCGUAGCUGGUCUGAGAGGAUGACCAGCCACACUGGGACGAGACACGGGCCACACUCCUACGGGAGGCGGNAGUGGGGAAUAUUGGACAUGGGGCGCGAGCCUGAUCCAGCAAUGCCGCGUGUGUGAAAAAGGCCUG